GGGAACCACAAGUGCAAUGUACGCCGAUGAGUUGAUAACUGGAAAGCUGAAAGUGAUUCUCUCUGGGGGCGGUUUUGGGGAAUCCUUGAUGAAGGUGACCCAUUUCUGAUUCUCAUUGAGAAGGGGAUGACCUGGGAAUAAAGAAGCCACAUGCCCAUCUGGGCCCAUACCAAGAAGCAUAAGAUCAAAUUUUGGGAACCCGCUUGCUGCUGAGACAUCAACCACUUUGGUAUUUACCAAAUGCUUCAGGCAGGUUUCAUAAUCUUCAGCUGCA
rnacentral:misc_RNA from 1 species